CAGUACCACGGGAAUACAGAGGGUGCGAGCGUUAAUCGGAUUUACUGGGCGUAAAGCGUGCGUAGGCGGCUUUUUAAGUCGGAUGUGAAAUCCCUGAGCUUAACUUAGGAAUUGCAUUCGAUACUGGGAAGCUAGAGUAUGGGAGAGGAUGGUAGAAUUCCAGGUGUAGCGGUGAAAUGCGUAGAGAUCUGGAGGAAUACCGAUGGCGAAGGCAGCCAUCUGGCCUAAUACUGACGCUGAGGUACGAAAGCAUGGGGAGCAAACAGGAUUAGAUACCCCUGUAGUCCCUGUCUCUUAUAAA
rnacentral:rRNA from 1 species